rnacentral:tRNA from 1 species
GUGCCGAUUUAGCUCAGCGGUAGAGCAGCUGGUACUGUUAACCAGUUGGUCGUUGGUUCAAUCCCAAUAAUCUACGCCA